CAGGAGGAGGCAGCAGGGGGUUGGCUGUUGCCGUGUAUCUGUCGAUAUGCACUGGGCUAGCCUCGGCAGGUGGUGGGCUUGGCUGAGGCACUAGCUCUUAGGUGGUUCGUGGUUGGUGGGAGAGAGAAUAGAGAAUAUAUGCGCAAGGGGAGCGGAACAAGAGAGGACGAGGGCAGUGGCGGGCAGCGUCCCUGCCGAGUAGAACCAAGGCAGCGCGCCUAGCACUCACCACCUGCUAAGCGGAAAGGUUUAUGUGCAGAUUCGCUUCCCUAAAACACCGGAAAACGAACACUGCAGACUUAGCCAACUACGGAGUCUAGGCAGUCAAAUACAGUAGACGAAGUACAAUCGUACGGCGACACCUACACUACAAAUAGAGGCCCCUUGCGGUGAGGACGACCAAGUGUUGCCCGGUGCCGGUUGCGGUUGACUAUAGAAGAGGUUGCUGCCAGCCACCAAUUCAAUUUCUUACGAAAGAACUCCGAAGGAGCAGAGACUAGUUUACUACAGGCACAACGAAAAACGAGUGUUCUACUACGACCGGGCAGAGGUUUGUAGUGUCUUUCCAUUAACACAACCAUUCGACUACUACGCGUACACCCGUGUCACGCAUAACAUGAUGAACUACAUGGUCAUGUAACCAUCCCAUCCCGCCGGAAACGGUACAACCCACGCGAGCGAACCGUCCGGUGCUCUGUUAUUUUUCAUAUAAACCACAACAAACGCCCCACCUCUAGCGUGCCCUUGUUAGAUAAACAAGAUAAAACGGGCCCAAGAGGUGGGACGGUACCACAGAGACAGGAAGAGGACACAAACUAAGGUACCGUAGUAGACUUCAUGUGGUGCUAGGAUAUGUAUCGUUUAUACACCUGUCCGGACCCGCGUCGCCGUUUAUGCAACACUCCUAGUUAAAUUGAUGCGUGCUUCCAUGUAGAUUGACGAAGAAAGUCGCAAUAUAGUUAAAUUUAAACUUCACUGGGUCUUUGUACUCGCGAAAAGACUUCCCAGUUAGACUUGACUGGAGCUUCAACGGCUAGGUUUAAUAGAGUUGACUGGAAAAUGCUGGAGCUUGACUGGAAAAUGCGAUAUGUACCACCUGGAAGUCAAACUAUGUUCCAAACAGUAUGGGCAUUAAAACAUGGGAACGUGGGGUUCUUACUUUUAUCCCUUUAAGAGUGCUCGGUUGUUGGUAGAUGAAUGCGUUGUGUCCGAUUCACUAGCACUCUUGAAAAUCAUUGAGGCGUAUAAAUAAAAUAGAAUGGUAUGACACAGGUAUCAGAACACCAGGAUUCUUCCGAUCAACGAACAAGAUGAGAUAGGUAAAGGACAACCAAUGGUACUCAUCAAGACAUACAUAUAUGGUAACUUUCUGAACUAAGGAAAGACAUAUUGAACAAUCAGAAGCAUUAAAUAAACAUAAAAUCAAUGACCUCGAACAGGUCUACAACGACGACGUAGUAUGAUUGGAGAGCACCUUUCAACCUAAGCAGAUACUCCUAAUGACCUCCGUCUAGAAGUAUAGAUUACUUCAACGUCUGUUCAAUACUAACAGUUACGGUAAAAGCUAGAACUCUUUGCAACGAUCACAGAACUAUAUAUGGUUUUGGACUUAACUUCUUAAUUUAACAAGUACAACUAUAUAAGACAUUCCACGUCCGCAACACAGCUCCUUCGGACCAAUCAAUCCGUUAAAGUCGAACGGCUAACGGACUAAUUUAACGUAAUACAUUCUAAUCUCUUAGGUCGCAUGCCAAAAAAGUAUCGAAUUUUACGAUACUUCUGGCUGAAUAAUACUUGACACUAGGUUAAAUAACUUAUGAGGGAGGCAGGUCUUUAUGAACAGCGUAUUUACCUACUUUUACCUACAUAGAUCUUAAUUUUCAUGUAGAUCUAUGUAAGUAAAGUUACUGUUCAUAAAAGCCUGCCUCCAUCAUAAAAAAAUGUCAAGAAACCUUAAGAAUAAAAAUACGAAUUGUUCUUAUACGACUUACAGCAAGAUUAAAUAGAAAUCAUUCGUCCGUUUAAGUUUAACCGACUUACAACAAAGUUCAAUCUAACCUAACCUCUUAGACGUACCGACCAGACUUAACCGAACUAGACUUAUAAAAACUAAACAGUUUGUUUAGACAUUAAAUUAAACAGAAGAUUGUAGACAGAUUGCUAUAGAGACGGAAGAAGCAGUUAAAAAAUGAUUCGUCCGAAUAAGUUUCACCCAAACAGUAAGUUUAAGUUAACCUAACCUCUUAGAACCCCGACACGAACUCAGACUUUAUCGAAACUCGACUUAUAAAAAGUUAAAUUUUCUAUUUUCUACUUAUUUACCAACUAGAAGUCGAGACUUGACCUUUCUCGUAAGGUCGUUUGUUUAACGACCCUUACUACCAAGCUGAGGUAGUUCUAGGAAGCAUUUUUCUUUACCCUACAUUUAAACUAGUGAGCGGUAAGAUAGGAGUACCACGGCUUCUUUAAGAUCUGCACACAUAAGUUCCUAGCCACCUGUUACUGAAAAUAACGUACCGUGAUAGACAAGAGGCAUUUUUCCCGCGUAUUAGACCGGAACUUCGCAUUCCUCGUGUUCCUCCUAACAGCCGUUAGAGGCAUUUUUCCCGCGUAUUAGACCGGAACUUCGCAUUCCUCGUGUUCCUCCUAACAGCCGUUAGUUCAUCUCCGCACUUACCCCUAUACCUCAAAACCUUACAGUAUAUCUUCCGGUUACAGAAAAUCUUCUAGUCUUAAAACAAACCGUACGCUGUAGAUUAUUGGACCGCUAGGUCCACUUAUCUCAAUACGUGGUAGACCGACGAGGCCCAUACAUGAGAUAUAAACACCCCACCUUCUACUUUCGUACAGGGUACGAGACUACCGAACGGGGCUCCUCUCGAGAUGCGUACCUCAACUUCCUUCAAACCUUAUAAGACCCCUCACUUUAGAAGUUGAAGAGUUCAGAGCUAACCUACGAAGAGAACAACCUAGUCAAUUGGAGUUGUAUGGAAUAAGUAUAAGAUCCCUCGAACCGUGAAUUCUUUACUAGAUUAACAAACUAUUCCCAUUGGUAAAACAAAGUUUGAAACGAUUAGAACACCUAUUGAUCACCAACAGCAAGAACAGAAUGGUAAGGUUACAUCUCAGCCAGGGUCACAGUUUCAAUUUCAUCAUCACCUACCCUAUUCAUGUGGAGCAUCAUAAGUACUCCAUACUGUUGGAGGUGGAAACCUAACAUUAUUCUAUUUACACCUACGAUUAAAACACCUUAGCCAGGGGUCGCAGCUUCCAUAUCAUCACCUACCCUAUUCAUGAGGAACAUCAUAAGUACUCCAUACUAUUGGAGGCGGAAACCUAACAUAAUUCUAUUUACACCUACGAUUAAAACAACUCUCAUAAACGCGACGCUCAGACCCCAACAAAGGUUUUUAAGUCAACCGCUGGAGGAAUGAAGGAGAA
rnacentral:rRNA from 1 species